UCGAGCGAACGGACGAGAAGCUUGCUUCUCUGAUGUUAGCGGCGGACGGGUGAGUAACACGUGGAUAACCUACCUAUAAGACUGGGAUAACUUCGGGAAACCGGAGCUAAUACCGGAUAAUAUUUUGAACCGCAUGGUUCAAAAGUAAAAGACGGUCUUGCUGUCACUUAUAGAUGGAUCCGCGCUGCAUUAGCUAGUUGGUAAGGUAACGGCUUACCAAGGCAACGAUGCAUAGCCGACCUGAGAGGGUGAUCGGCCACACUGGAACUGAGACACGGUCCAGACUCCUACGGGAGGCAGCAGUAGGGAAUCUUCCGCAAUGGGCGAAAGCCUGACGGAGCAACGCCGCGUGAGUGAUGAAGGUCUUCGGAUCGUAAAACUCUGUUAUUAGGGAAGAACAUAUGUGUAAGUAACUGUGCACAUCUUGACGGUACCUAAUCAGAAAGCCACGGCUAACUACGUGCCAGCAGCCGCGGUAAUACGUAGGUGGCAAGCGUUAUCCGGAAUUAUUGGGCGUAAAGCGCGCGUAGGCGGUUUUUUAAGUCUGAUGUGAAAGCCCACGGCUCAACCGUGGAGGGUCAUUGGAAACUGGAAAACUUGAGUGCAGGAGAGGAAAGUGGAAUUCCAUGUGUAGCGGUGAAAUGCGCAGAGAUAUGGAGGAACACCAGUGGCGAAGGCGACUUUCUGGUCUGUAACUGACGCUGAUGUGCGAAAGCGUGGGGAUCAAACAGGAUUA
rnacentral:rRNA from 1 species